UUCGGGGUGGACUGCCGGCCGGCGCCCUAAUGGCCGUGGGCUUCGGCUCCGGUCACGAAUACCUCGAACAAAUGAGAGCGCAUGAGGCAGGCACAUGUUGCCGGAAUCUAUUAGCAUGGAAUAACACAUGGACCGCAGCGUCUUGUUGUUGGUUAAAGACGAUGCAGUAAUGAUUAACAGGGGUACUCGGGGCCAACCGUACUCUGGGGCUAGGGGUGAAAUCCUGUGACCCUCAGAAGACGACCUAAUGCGAAAGCAGUUGGCUAGGGUACUUUCAUUGAUCAAGCACGAAGGGUGGGGGAGCAAAGACGAUUAGACACCGUUGUAGUCCCACCAGUAAACGAUGUCGACGCGAUCACGGGUGUCUGUGUUAGCAGCGCUCGGGAGCGUAUAGAAAUUAGAGUCUUUGGACUCUGGGGGGAGUAUGGUCGCAAGUCUGAAACUUAAAGGAAUUGACGGAAGGGCACAACCAGGCGUGGAGCCUGCGGCUUAAUUUGACUCAACACGGGGAAGCUCACCAGGGCAGGACAUGAUUAGGAUUGACAGACAUGACAGAUCUUUCAUGAUCUCAUGGGUGGUGGUGCAUGGCCGUUCUUAGUUCGUGGGGUGACUUGUCUGGUUGAUUCCGAUAACGAGCGAGACCGAGACCCAAGGUUGGCGCCGUUUCCCUCAUGUUCUUUGGGGCUUCGAGGGCGGCGCUCUUCUUGCGCCUUGGGGACCGGCGCCCGGUUAAGGGCGUGGAGGUGCUUGGCAAUAACAGGUCUGUGAUGCCCUUAGAUGUCCUGGGCCGCACGCGCGCUACACUGAUGCAGACAAUGGGCAUUCACCUAUUCCGAGAGGGCUGGGUAAUCCUGUGAGGCUGCAUCGUGCUGGGGAUCGAGCACUGGAACUGUG
rnacentral:rRNA from 1 species